AUCUCAACCCACUCUCGUCCCGCGCUUCACUGUUUAUGUGUCUUAGGCCACGCCCCCUGCACGUGCUCCGUUGGCGAGCGAAGGGGGGGAAGAGCAAGAGUGGGAAAGCCGUUCCUAUUGGUGCGCUGUCGGCUUUUCACCGUGACGUCAACGCUAAGCGACCGUCGCGAAGCUCUGGCGCCAUCCGAGCGGGCCUAGGCGACCAGAGGCGUGAGGGAGCGACGCAAUGGCCGCUUAGGGACCGUUGGGAGAAGGAGGCGGCGAGGAGGAGGAGAAGGACAGAAGGGAGCCCCUUUUGGCCGCCAGGAUGCUUGAAGGGCUGAGGCGGCUUCAGCUGCUCAGAUGGCGGCAGCGACGGCGGCGGCAGCAGCAGCGACCGGGAUAACUUAUAACAGAAGUCAAAAGCCUUGUGUAUUGCUACAUGUUUACUCUUGCCUUGGUUGAUGACUUGAAGCAUUACUAAAAUGCACCAGAAACUCUUGAAGAGCUCUCAUUACAUUGAGCUGGGAAGUUAUCAGUAUUGGCCUGUUCUCGUUCCUCGAGGAAUUCGUUUAUACACCUAUGAACAGAUUCCUGUGUUCCUUAAGGAUAAUCCUUACAUCACUGACGGCUACAGAGCGUACCUGCCUUCUAGGCUGUGUUUAAAAAGUCUGUUUGUUUUGUCCAAUGAGACAAUCAAUAUCUGGAGUCAUUUGCUGGGCUUCUUUCUCUUCUUCACUUUGGGCAUAUACGACAUGACUUCUGUGUUGCCUUCUGCGAAAGCUUCUAGAGAAGAUUUUGUUAUUUGUUCUAUUUGCCUUUUUUGCUUUCAGGUCUGUAUGCUUUGUUCAGUAGGGUAUCACCUCUUCUGCUGUCAUCGCUCAGAGAAGACCAGUCGAAGAUGGAUGGCAUUGGAUUACGCAGGAAUUUCGAUCGGGAUCCUAGGCUGCUAUGUGUCCGGAGUUUUUUAUGCGUUUUACUGUAGUAACUACUGGCGUCAAGUAUACUUGAUCACGGUGCUUGCUAUGAUCUUGGCAGUAUUCUUCGCUCAGAUUCACCCCAGUUACCUCACUCAGCAAUGGCAUCGGCUGCGCUCGGCCAUCUUCUGCUCUGUGUCAGGCUACGGAAUUAUUCCCACCGUUCACUGGAUUUGGCUUAACGGAGGCAUCACGGCAUCUAUUGUACAGGAAUUCGCUCCCCGAGUGAUUGUGAUGUACUUAAUAGCUGUCACAGCAUUUCUCUUCUAUAUUUCUAAAGUCCCAGAAAGGUAUUUUCCAGGACAGCUAAACUACCUCGGCUCCAGCCACCAACUUUGGCACAUUCUUGCUGUGGUGAUGUUAUAUUGGUGGCACCAAUCAACCAUGUACAUCAUGGAGUACCGACACAGCAAGCCUUGCCUGGAUUAGACCAAUGCACCCAAAGUGCAUCAAGAAUUUCAUCCUUGUACCGAAGUUUGGACAUUGAAUGUCUGCAUUUAAUGCUGAUUUUAGGAGCAACAGCCACCGUUCUUGUUGAAUCCUCUUUCUUUUAGGAAUAAUAUGUUAAUAGGCACUCCUGAUACCAUUGAUCUCCAUCAGCUGAGUAACUUUGUCCACUUACGGAAAUUGAAAGAACUGCAGAUAACUCUGUUGUAUUUAAACAACUUUUCUUUGAACUACUGACAUAUAUAAAUUAUAAUAAAACUUGGAUGUGGGGACUGUUUGUGCUAUCAAGAAAAGUUCUCCAAAGUGCAUGCAUGUGAAGUUCUUAUGACAUUUGCAUGCCGGGAUCUCACUUGAAAACCCAUGUUAACUGUACCUUUUUAAUGUGCUCUGUGUUGUUGCGCUGACGUUCCAUUUGAAAAAAAAAGAAUUCAAAUAUAAUACAGAUUUUUUUUAUUGGAGUUCCUUUUCCUUUCAAUAAAAGAGUCUCCAUAGAUUAUCGCAGGGUAACUUUUAUCUUCAAACCAAGUGUUGGACCCAUCGGUCAAUUUAGAAUUAAACCAUCGUUUUCUGAUUUUGGGAGCUUGUAGUCAAUGGGUCAAACAUGUGACAAGGGUCAGAAGAUUUUAGACUGGACUACAAAUUGCUACAAGUAACACUCGCCACAAACCUGACCUGCUUGCUACUACUUGGAUAAGUGGAAUGCUUCUAAGCCAUUCUUCAGGAUAGUACCUGCCUAAUGCCAAACGCAAAGUGCUUGCUUGUGCCUUGACAGCACUUCCUGCUGCCUUGGAAAUUUUGGAAGAAAGAGGUAAAUUCAGCCAAUGCAGGGGGGAAAAAAUCUAACUAGCAAGUGUGGCCAUCUCGGGUUUUGAGAUUCCAGCAGCCAUGUCUUCACAGCCUAGUGCCAAAAGGGGAUUUGCAAAGAAGAACGAAAGAAGGCAUUAUGCUGCUCUAAUGUACGUUUUUUGGACGCUUUCCGGAAGCAAAACGCAACGAAACAGCAAUACCAGAUUUCCACCUCUGAAGGCCGUAACUGCCCUAGGACUACCAGCAAAGUUGAUACGUGCCAUGAUCUGCCAAAGAAGCUGCAAGCAUGGCCAUAGACACUUCUGGAAGAAGUUUUAUGGUUUACCGUGAAUGCAACCAGUUCUUCUAACGGAUUCCUCUCCAACAUCUUUAUCCAUCUCCUAUGCCUUCCAUUUGUUUCAUGCUUUUAUUGUUUUUUGUUUUUUGCCUGACACUAAAAUGAAAGCUACAGCUUUAUUUCAGAUUUAUUCCUCUUGUCUGGGACAACCCGUUACAGAAAAAUCUGGAGGAACCUUUAACUGUACAUUCACAGUUCACUAUAGGAGACGUAUGUCAUGGCACCACCGCUUUUGCUCUACUUCGUCACCUUCAAUUUUUAACUGCCUAGGAAAGUCAUUAAAAUUGUUUGCACUCCCAAGUAUAAAGGCAAUUUUAUCAGAUUGCGCUGUAGGUGUUGUGUAAAAUAGUGCUUCAAUAAAUGGUUUGCCAAAAGG